AAACACUCAAUCUCAACUCUGGUCCUCUAGGUGAAUACCCCUGAUAUAGAUCAUUAUGGUCCGCUAGGUGAAUACCCCUGAUAUAGAUCAACUCUGGUCCUCUAGUUGAAUACCCCUGAUAUAGAUCAACUCUGGUCCUCUAGGUGAAUACCCCUGAUAUAGAUCAUUAUGGUCCUCUAGGUGAAUACCCCUGAUAUAGAUCAACUCUGGUCCUCUAGGUGAAUACCCCUGAUAUAGAUCAACUCUGGUCCUCUAGGUGAAUACCCCUGAUAUAGAUCAUUAUGGUCCUCUAGGUGAAUACCCCUGAUAUAGAUCAACUCUGGUCCUCUAGGUGAAUACCCCUGAUAUAGAUCAACUCUGGUCCUCUAGGUGAAUACCCCUGAUAUAGAUCGUUAUGGUCCUCUAGUUGAAUACCCCUGAUAUAGAUCAACUCUGGUCCUCUAGGUGAAUACCCCUGAUAUAGAUCAACUCUGGUCCUCUAGGUGAAUACCCCUGAUAUAGAUCAACUCUGGUCCUCUAGUUGAAUACCCCUGAUAUAGAUCAACUCUGGUCCUCUAGUUGAAUACCCCUGAUAUAGAUCAACUCUGGUCCUCUAGGUGAAUACCCCUGAUAUAGAUCAACUCUGGUCCUCUAGGUGAAUACCCCUGAUAUAGAUCAUUAUGGUCCUCUAGUUGAAUACCCCUGAUAUAGAUCAACUCUGGUCCUCUAGUUGAAUACCCCUGAUAUACCUUGAUUCGUACCUUGUCAGCUCGGGGAUUCGAUCUUUCGGUUAAUUGUCCAACGCUCUAACCACUUGGCUACGCUGCCGCCCCGACUUGUUAUCAAGCCGUGAUUAUUUAUUUAAAUCAGCUGUGUAGUGAUGGAGCGAAAAACAAAAGGUCGUUGACCCCAUGGACUGAAUUUGGGAAACGCUGCUUUA